UUGCAUGCAGUGGCUUUUCUGCCACAGUACAUCCACGUCUCCCCACUGAUGAGAUUGUGGCUGUAGAAAGAGCAUGCUAAAGUAACGCGGAGUUAACAGGGCCACCAGUCUCUCAAGCACAGACUGCGUUGGUAGUAUAGAACUCCUACAUUA
ensembl:snoRNA Small nucleolar RNA U109